UCCCUACUCUCUCUGUGUCUCAGUGAUGGUGCUAAUGCUAAUAUGGACGCUCAAACUACUAUUCGCCUGGCGGGAUCUGGGGUUGAAUAUUCAGUCUCAUGGACAAUAUUAAUGUCAAUAUGAACGUUUGCUUCACAAAUAGAACCUUUUGCUUGUGUUUCUGAGCUGUAGACAUGCAUCCUUCCUUCCUUCCUUUCCUUCCUAGUAAGGAAUGAUCUGACCAAUCUGGUUAGACUUGGAUUGACCCUCACAUGCCACAAAAUCUGCUUAUUGUAAAGAAAAUGUGAGUCCUCUCUGGUAGGGAGGAGUCAGAUCAGUGAUGACUCUCUGGUAGGGAGGAGUCAGAUCAGUGAUGACUCUCUGGUAGGGAGGAGUCAGGUCAGUGAUGACUCUCUGGUAGGGAGGAGUCAGAUCAGUGAUGACUCUCUGGUAGGGAGGAGUCAGAUCAGUGAUGACUCUCUGGUAGGGAGGAGUCAGAUCAGUGAUGACUCUCUGGUAGGGAGGAGUCAGAUCAGUGAGUCCUCUCUGGUAGGGAGGAGUCAGGUCAGUGAUGACUCUCUGGUAGGGAGGAGUCAGAUCAGUGAUGACUCUCUGGUAGGGAGGAGUCAGAUCAGUGAUGACUCUCUGGUAGGGAGGAGUCAGGUCAGUGAUGACUCUCUGGUAGGGAGGA